UAUUCAGGCUGCAGGAGGGCGUCGGGAUCCGCCCCGGCCGGUGAGCCGUACCGAUAGCGAUGGAGGUGGGAGUGCUUCAGUUCUUCAGUUCAUUCUGCUCUCAUCAGCGGGAGUGAGCGAGAUGGGGCUGUGCUUCUGCAGCCUCAGCACUGCUGGGAGAGAGGAGCAACACGAAGGGCUGCUAAAACCAGGUGUUUCCCUAUUGCGGCUGGAGCUGCAGCAGGGCCUCUCUUCAUCCCAAACCGGCGAGGUUGUGGAAGUGUUGAGAGUUUGGGAGUCAGUAGGUGAGCUCUCUCCCCUUUGGACUUGGGUAGGGUUGCUGCUGAGCUAUCUCUGUUUCUUCAGGAUCAGCACGGUGCUGCUCUUGGAGGCCAAGGGAGACCUCUGGGUGGCCUCAGCCCCCCAAAAGGGUUUGUAGGUCCUUCAGCUCCUGCCUCCAGCAGCGGGAGCGAGCAGCAGGAUGGGACUGGGUGUUUCCACCUUCCUUAUGUGCAUGACCUCAUUCCCAUCGUGGUGGGUGAACUUGUAUGCCUGGAAUGCUGUUUGUUACGGAUUGCAUGUUUUUUUUCCAGAAGGACAAUCCAGCAGGGUGAUGGAGUUGCUUUUCAGGUGAGAGAGCUGGAAAGGAUUGAGCCCUGCCUAGGGAUGAAUGAACAACUAGAGGAGUGCUUGUGAGCUGUGACUGCUGAGGAUGCUCCUUGACGAUCCUGGAUCCCAGAGGAAAGCGUCUUUGAGGAAGGAUGCCUUCCUGAUCGCAGAGGAGGCGGCAAAGAUCACGUGGACAAAAUUAGUGCCCCCCAGGAAAGUUGUGUGAGGACGGGAGGAUAGCCAGCAUCACGGCAGCCUUCAAAAAGGGUGUCAUUCCAAGGAACUUGAAGAGUUUGCUAUGAAGCAGUCAAGGUGGAAUCACUGAGGGGAAAUUGUGCUGCUCCAACCUGGGAGCGUCAGGUCAGAGAAGAGCAGGGGAUGCUGCAAGCCUGACUUCAGUGUUUCUGUUGGCGUUUUUGUAAUGAAGCUUAACAAGUGUGAGAUGGUGACCUGGAUGAAGGGAGAGUCUCUAAUGUCGGUGAGUGAGCGGAUGAUGCGAAGCUGGGAGGAGCAGCGACAUUCAGCGGGACCCCAUGAACUGUGGAGAGCAGGUCAAGCGGAUGGGAAAGUUGUACAUGGGGUCCAAUGGAGGGCAAUGAAGAUGAUGAGGGGCCUGGAGCAUCUCUCUGUGGAGGACUGGAUGAGGAAUCUACUUCUGUUUCACCAAGAGAAGGUGGGUGGAAUCUCCUUUUUGUUAGUAAAUAUCUAGGAGUAGGAGUGUAGCAAUACAAUGGGGUGACAUUUGUGGUUGUGAAUGCCAGAAGUUCUGUAUAAACAGAAGGAGUGAUUUGUUGGAGAGUGAUGGUAUAGGCUAACUGGAGAGUUUGGAAAUGGUCAUGUUGAGUGCGGUUGCCUUCCUGGGUGAUGUGGUAUAGGGAAGCUGCUUUAGCAAGGGAGCCUUUCCAAUCCUCUGUGGUUCUGUGACUGUCAUUUGGUUUCAGGAUGGAGGCUGCAAAGGAGUGUUUGUUUUUUUGGCAAGGAUCUGCCUGAACAUGAGUGGUUUCAUCAGUGGUGGAAUGGAGGAGGUAAGAGCCCUCAGUUGUGUUGUGUAGGUGUGGAGGCUCCUUUGUCAGAGGUUUGGUGCUGGAACAAGGAUUGCUGUGUGACUGCCUCUCCAGAGGGAGGUGUUUUUCCAGUGGAGUGGAAUUGAUGGAGCAUUCAGAAGUGGUGCCUUUUGGUGGAGCUUCACUUGGGCUGUAGCAGAAGAAUUGGAGCUGACUUAACAGUGUGUGCCCCAAAAAUACUGGGAAUGAAGUUUGCUUCCAUAGUGUGAGAAGCAGGUGAGUAGAUGUCAGUUUUAGAGAAGAAUUACCCGCUUGCAGCAGUUUCUUUUGAAAAGAUUUUCUACUGCAAGUAGAGAUGCUCUGUGUUACCUGUGGAAAUAGGAUGCCUAAGUAUCUGCACUAAAAUAAUGGCUGGACUGAGCUAGCUCAAGUUUUCCUGGUGUAGUGGAUACCUGGCAGUCUCCAACUUGAAACAAAAAGCAAAGAAUCUUGCUUACCUCAGGGAAGAAAUGUAGCGCCUACCAGUUAUUUCUGUGCUUGGGACUUCUUCCCUUGCUGCUGAACUGACUUCUUCUUGGGAGAAGAAAGUGGAGGACGAGGACCGCUUCUGCAGUUGGCCAUUUAGCACUGCAAGUUCUGUAAGGAAAAAAGUGAGACUUAAGUUAAUAAUGAAUAUCUUCACAGGUUGUCUACUUCAGCACUAUGGUGUGUCAGACUUGCUUGACUCACCAAAUGAAACCAGUACUUUUCCAGUGUUUGCAUUGUUGCAGCGGAAUUCCUGGAGAGAAGCGUUGCUUGAGUUUGGAAGGGCUUCUCGAGUGUGAAGGUAGGAGUGCUGUCCUGAGAGCUGAGCGGCGUUGACUCUUGCAAAAAGAUGGUUUCCUUUUUUCAGAUAGGUAAGUCAAACCACUCUCAGCAAACCAAUGGAGAAACCAGAGACUAGUGCAUCUCUAUGGUACCCUUUGGGUUAAGUUAGGAAUCAGAAAGCAGCCUGGGUUGGAAGGAACCUGUGUCUCCAAGCUCUGCACUGCUCUGCCUCAACUUCAGUUGCAUCUCUGUGAGACUCAUCAAAGCCUGGGGAUGACCAGUGUCAAUGACAGUUUGCAUUCUGGUUCUACUCAAUUUUCACAUUUUCAGAUUCAAAGUAACAAUUUCUACACUAGGAGGAACUUAGCUGUGACACCUGGGCACAAAUUACACCUUUGGAGACAAACUUCAAGAUUUGCAAACUUCAAGAUUUGUUUCCUAUAGGUACAGGCCUGAAUCAAACACCCCUUCUGCAUCACGUUGCAGCCUGUUUCCCAAGGUUUCCAGGUGACUCAAACAUUUUUAUCUUCAUUUUUACUGCAGAGUCAGCAGUUAGUUAAUACAUGAACUGAAAUAAAACAAAAAACAACCACCAACUGGAGGGGAAGGUAGAAAACACUCUUGCUGUGAAACAGGCUCCAGGCCAAGAGUGGUUCCCUCUGCUUGGUCCAGUUACAGUUCAGAGGCUCAUUCCUUGGAAGCAAAAUCUUAUAAGUAAACAUGGAGCUGAGCCUCUCUCUGCCCUUUAUCCCCUCCCAUGAAGCCUAUUUUUUUUUAUCCCAUUCAACUCAAAGGCACCCUCAGAACACUGGACUAAAUCUGCCUGUAAUAAAAUAAAUCUAAUUCUGGUCACAUUAAAAUACAUCACAGACCUUCAAAGGAAUAGUGCUAGGCUGCCUAAUGAAAAAUAGAGUGCUUCAAGUGAGAUAAACCAACAUUCUGACCGUAAGCAAGAACAAACUGGGAUCUGGUGUCACAGGAUAUUCCUUCUCUCUGGGUUUUUGCAUAUUAACCAGCAGACAGGUUUGUGGAAGAUGACUUAUUGCUCUCAGUUUUACCACAAGGAAAAUACAUAAUGUUUCUAGCUGAUCGGUAACAUGAAGUUCAACUCUGUCCCAGUACGUUCAUGCAUGGCCUAACAAGUGAAAUUACUUAAAAGAGAGCCCUCAAUGUCAAAAAAGGCUUUACAAAAAUGACUCAGUGAUUUUUCAGCUACUUGCCCUUACUGAGUGCAGAGCCCUCUGUCCCUCUAAGUUUUAGCAGCUCUGUAUGAUUAUUAUUGAAUGGGAACCUCCGUUAUCUCAGUGUUGACUGAGGUACAAAUGCCCAUUGGAGUGACUGAGGGAAAGGGCAGUGAGUGUUUGCUUUGGCUGUUUAGCCAAGCUAGACUUAUGUUAUGCAUCCUGAUUUACAUGUAAUGUGGAGAUGUAACGUGGAUGCCCCAUCCCUGGAGGCGUUCAAGGCCAGGCUGGAUGCGGCUCUGGGCAACCUGGUCUGGUGGUUGGUGACCCCACACAUAGCAGGGGGGUUGGAACUAGAUGAGCAUUGUGGUCCUUUGCAACCCAGACCAUUCUAUGACAAGUGAAUCAAAAAGACUUUAAACAGAGGAAAAUAAAAAAGAGGAAACCGUAGAUGUCACAUACAAACGUCUGAGAAAUAAUCUGAGCAAAAGUUAACAUUUGCUCCUUUUUAUUUUGAGCAAUGUUAAAUAUGGUUUUCCUGCACUUUGCAGUGUCAGCUAACAGCCUGCUAUAUCCUUAGCUCAGCCAUAGCUGGACAAAUCAGUCCCUUUACAGACACCCACACAGUCCAUCUUUCCCCAACCCAUUGGCCACCAGUUCACACACACAAGGAAUCAUCCAGUAGGUACAAUGACCAGUCACCGCUGCAGCUGCUGCUGUGCCUUUGAAGGAAACACAAAGUUACUGCUUGUCUUUCUUCCCCUCCCUCCUUUCUGGAGGCUUCUAGGCUGUAAGCGUGCAGGAGAAAACUGGAACUGCUUAGGCCUCCCCUGCAACAGGUCCGUUUCUGAACAAAGUUAUGAAACCAAGAGAAGAUACGGGCUUCUUCAUCAACUUUUUUAAAACACCAAAGAAAAAUCAUGUUUAAAGGUGAUGCUAUUAGCUGAAGACAACAGAAAAAGGGUGGCAACUUUCCCUAUAGAGAGCUCAAGAUGUGUGUGUCGUCAAUGCUUCCGGGACCCCUCCUGGGCUUCAGCAAGCACGCAGGCCAUGGCUAACAUUUCCAACCCUGAAACCCAGCCCUCCAAGAAAAGAGUAAAUCAAAAUACAUAACGUAGGGUGAUGCAGGGCUACUUCUUUCAUUUCAUCUUCACAGCACAGAGCUCUCUCUGCAAGACAGAUACGCAAGUGUAUUAAGCCCACUGACACCUCUCCAAAAGCUUAUUUGCUGGCUAAUUAGACAGUUGAAAAGAUCAACAGGUCGAUGGAAUUGAGAUAAUGCUAUCCAAUGUAAUUACUACAAUUGCAAUAUUUUAGGAAUUGAAGAACAACUCCGUUCGACCUAUGCCAAAAAGCCUAUAUACAGAAGUCCGUACUUAGGUGGUUAUUUUUCUCUAUCGGUUCAUAAUUGCCUUCUGUUUUUAAUCACAGCUUCUUUCUCCAACUGUUGCAAAGAUGGCACUGUUGUUUUUUCCUGCGUAGCCUGAAGUCCCCAGUGGCUACAGUCCACUUCUCUCCACCGCUGACGUUUAAGGUGCUGACAGCCCCCAAGCGCCCGAGGGAUCCUGCUGUCUUCGGCAAGGUCUCAUUUCAUUUAAUUUCAUAUUUAAAGCUUCCGUGACCUUUUUGAACAUGUAAAUGAUAAAAAUACUUUCACACACGGAUGUAUCGAGCGCCACGUCCACCUAGGCUUGUUAAUAAACCUCGUUGCUCUGUU